rnacentral:rRNA from 1 species
UACGGAGGGUGCAAGCGUUAUCCGGAUUCACUGGGUUUAAAGGGUGCGUAGGUGGGUUGGUAAGUCAGUGGUGAAAUCCCCAAGCUUAACUUGGAAACUGCCAUUGAUACUAUCAGUCUUGAAUAUUGUGGAGGUCAGCGGAGUAUGUCAUGUAGCGGUGAAAUGCUUAGAGAUGACAUAGAACACCAAUUGCGAAGGCAGCUGGCUACGCAUAUAUUGACACUGAGGCACGAAAGCGUGGGGAUCAAACAGG